CCUACGGGAGGCUGCAGUGGGGAAUAUUGGACAAUGGGGGGAACCCUGAUCCAGCCAUGCCGCGUGUGUGAAGAAGGCCCUCGGGUUGUAAAGCACUUUCAGUGAGGAAGAACGCCUGGUGGUUAAUACCCAUCAGGAAAGACAUCACUCACAGAAGAAGCACUGGCUAACUCCGUGCCAGCAGCCGCGGUAAUACGGAGGGUGCGAGCGUUAAUCGGAAUUACUGUGCGUAAAGCGCGCGUAGGUGGCUUGAUAAGCCGGUUGUGAAAGCCCCGGGCUCAACCUGGGAACGGCAUCCGGAACUGUCAAGCUAGAGUGCAGGAGAGGAAGGUAGAAUUCCCGGUGUAGCGGUGAAAUGCGUAGAGAUCGGGAGGAAUACCAGUGGCGAAGGCGGCCUUCUGGACUGACACUGACACUGAGGUGCGAAAGCGUGGGUAGCAAACAGGAUUAGAUACCCCGGUAGUC
rnacentral:rRNA from 1 species